GACGAUGAUGUCCAAUUUCCUGAAGUUUUGCAAACUCCAGUGCCAGUGCAGAUGACUGAAGAGGACCACUGCCCUCAGCAGAAAGGGGAUGUCCAGUGUCCUAUAUGUGGCAUAUCCUUCCCAGUCCUGCUUAUCGAGGAACAUGCUAGCCAUUGUGGCCAAAGAACUGAGGACACAACCUCACCUGAGAGGGAACUCCAUCCUGAGACAGAUGAUAUCUCAUG